rnacentral:rRNA from 1 species
AUUGAACGCUGGCGGCAGGCCUAACACAUGCAAGUCGAGCGAGUGGCGGACGGGUGAGUAAUGUAUGGGGAACUGCCCGAUAGAGGGGGAUAACUACUGGAAACGGUGGCUAAUACCGCAUACUAUCGGAUGAACCCAGCUGGGAUUAGCUAGUAGGUGGGGUAAAGGCUCACCAAGGCGACGAUCCCUAGCUGGUCUGAGAGGAUGAUCAGCCACACUGGGACUGAGACACGGCCUAGACUCCUACGGGAGGCAGCAGUGGGGAAUAUUGCACAAUGGGCGCAAGCCUGAUGCAGCCAUGCCGCGUGUAUGAAGAAGGCCUUAGGGUUGUAAAGUACUUUCAGCGGGGAGGCGUUACCCGCAGAAGAAGCACCGGCUAACUCCGUGCCAGCAGCCGCGGUAAUUC